GACGAACGCUGGCGGCGUGCUUAACACAUGCAAGUCGAACGGAAAGGCCCUGCUUUUGUGGGGUGCUCGAGUGGCGAACGGGUGAGUAACACGUGAGUAACCUGCCCUUGACUUUGGGAUAACUUCAGGAAACUGGGGCUAAUACCGGAUAGGAGCUCCUGCUGCAUGGUGGGGGUUGGAAAGUUUCGGCGGUUGGGGAUGGACUCGCGGCUUAUCAGCUUGUUGGUUGGGUAGUGGCUUACCAAGGCUUUGGCGGGUAGCCGGCCUGAGAGGGUGACCGGCCACAUUGGGACUGAGAUACGGCCCAGACUCCUACGGGAGGCAGCAGUGGGGAAUAUUGCACAAUGGGCGGAAGCCUGAUGCAGCAACGCCGCGUGCGGGAUGACGGCCUUCGGGUUGUAAACCGCUUUCGCCUGUGACGAAGCGUGAGUGACGGUAAUGGGUAAAGAAGCACCGGCUAACUACGUG
rnacentral:rRNA from 1 species